GGCGGGGAGAGGGCCGGGCUGGCCUGGGGGGAGGUCCGACUCGCGGCGGGUCCUCCCCUCGGGGCGUCGCCAACCCGCUGGGGCGGCCCGGAGCCCGCACGCCCCCUAGUGGCCAUUCCACCGGCCACUCGCUGAUGGCCAAGGCCAGUGCAGGCGGUUCAAGACUGGCUUAAUUUCACUCAGCAUAAUACCCUUCAUGUCUAUCCACAGGAUCUCUCAAAAGGGAAAGGACCUGGAGGGGGUUCUGGAGAAGAAGCCCAGAUACAGGACGCAGCUGAUCCGGAGACAUGGGGGAGCUGAAGCAAGAAUGAGCAAAACACUGGAGACCAACGUCCACAUCAAGUGAACGCAGCUGAGUUAUUCAGUUCUGACCUACAGAUGAAUGAAGAGGAAGAGGGAGAACGAAGAGAGGGAAGGAGAAGAGGGGCACCAUAAUGCUGUUUGUUUUAGGUGUUGCACAGGCAAGAACACACUUUUGAAUAGAGGUACUGCUGGUGGGAGGGACCCAAUCCUCAAAUGUAUUCAAAGUUUGUUUCAGUAAGAACGUAAGUAAAUAAAA